UUCUUGGCUUUUCUGAGUAUGCAUUCCUUCCUUCUGGGUAAGAGGCAAGGCCCUCUCUGGCAUGGGGGUCCUACGAUCUACAGUCAAACAACAACUUUCAGAUCAUGAAUUAUUGAAUUGGCUCAUGUAUUCUACCUUUGCCAGAAUAUUUCUUUCCACGUGCAUUUUGGAAAGAAUUUCAGGAAACAGAUCCUCUAUGUCUUCACCGUGGCCAGGAACUCCUUCCAACAUUAAGGCUAACCAGGUUAUUUAUUCACAAUCCCUAUCCUUAAGUUGCUCAAAGUCUCACAGGGUGAGACAGACAUCAAAACAAAUAACUAUAAACCAAUUAAAUGAGCACCACAAUGGAGACAUGCUGGCGUGUGUUAUGUCAGAGGCAAGUUUCUUAAAAUGAGCCCCCCAUGUUAGGGGUCUUCACUAAAAAAAUGACAGUUGAAUGUAGAAAACAGCUGGAGAGGGGAGAGCACAGCAGAGAGGGAAGACAUCUCCAACGCCUACUAACAGGAAACCCAGGAGUGGAGUUGAACAGUAUUAAUCUCAAGACCCAGAAUUGAUCCAAGAAAGCAACAAUUAUGAGUAAGUGGAGGAAAAAUGUGCUAGACUAAGUCCUGCUACCACAAAUUCCUUUUAAAGGAGCAGGAAUGACAAGGUUUCCACACAGAACGUGCGUCUGCACUUACCGCCGCUGGGCUGCCUGAGGCAUGGAAGGAACACGAGUGAUGAGGUGGAAGAAGGCAAAGACUCUCUGGUCAUUGCAGAAGGAAGGAUGAGAGCACAAGCCUGAGGAAGAGCAAAGGAGAUACUGGAGCUGAAUAUGAAGUUAUGGUUACACAUUAUUAAAGAUGAAUACUAAAGAAGUGACUGAAUAAAAAGGCAAGAAAUUGAAGAUGAUUGGUAUCAUCCCAGCAGAGAGGGAAGGCAGAAGACAAGGUCUUUUUUCUCAGUCUCAGAUUCUGUAUACAACUCACCCAGAUAUUUUGGAAUAACCUUAGGAUAUUUUCUUUCUUCAAUGGUGCAUUUGUGUUACCUUCCAAUGAUCAAAAACUAUGGAUGGUGGAGGGAAGAUGAACCUCUGCAAUCCAGGAGCUACUGAACAUAUUCAUUUAUAGAAAUAGUCAUGAAAUGAAGGGGUGAGAAGAUGCCUACUUAUUGGAAUGCUCAUAGUGAAGAGGAGAAUUGCUCAAGCAUCUCCUUAGUCACACGGCAACAAAGAACUCUGAGUAGCCAUGAUCCUCUUUCUUAAUCUGUAAUGCAACAAUUUGGCGUGCUUGAAGCAGUGUGGAAGACUUUUGGAAGUAGCAUAUUUGGCAAAGGAGAAAAUGACACAGAUCCCCUGAUAAAAAUGUGCAACUCAGUAGAAGGGUUCUCCUCUUAACCUCCAGCUAGUUUUGUUUCUGCCACCCAAGCAAAUCAAGGGUUUUCUCUUUUUUAGAUAAGGUUAUUAUUAUUACUACUAAAAUGAAAACAAUUACUACUGCUACUAGUAACGGUAGCUGGAAUUCAUUAAAUAAAGACUCUGUUACGAUCUGUUUUAAAUUUCUUGUAUAUACUAUUAUUAAUCCUCACUAUAACUCAGGUAUCCCAGUCAUCGCACAUUGCAGGUGAGGAAACUGAUUCAUAGAGUUUAAGCUCAUACAGCAAGUUAACAGUGGACCCAGGAUCUGUACCUAUUGGUACAACCCCAAAACUCAAAUUUAGGCAUCAUUUAGUUAACUCGUAGGUAAGAGGUACUUAGCAGUGUGAAGAGUUUCAGUCUGCCAAUCAUGUACAAAAAUCCACAUGUACAGAGCUCUUCCUCCGAAUCUCCCUGGUCUUAGCUCUUUUGUCCCUCAGGAGGCCAUACUAGUCAGCUCAGCUUGGGAAUCACCAGCCAUGGACUUAUGUGACCACCACAGUCCCACAUUCUUGCUCUUUAUAACAGGAAUCACAUACUCCCUCUUACUUCAAUCCCCCUUUAGUGUCAAUUUAUUCUCUACCAUUUGAUCCAACAAUUCCACUACUGGGCAUCUACCCAAAAGAUUGACAGUCACUUUAUGAAGA